GUACUUACCUGGCAGGGGAAGCACCGUGACCACGUAGGCGGGCUCCCCAGGGCAGGUGGUUUUCCCUAAUAUGUCCUCCAUAGGAGGUCUAUAUUGAGUAGAUUUUUGGUGUUGGAGGUGGAACUGGAGCUUGCUCCAU
rnacentral:snRNA from 1 species